UUGAAACAGUGUACAGUGCUUCCGGUCAAUGUCCGCCUUAGUUCGAUUAAAGCGAUCGGUUGAAACGGUUUUGUGUCAGCAUCGAGUAGGUAUAUCGCUCGAACGACAUACUUAAUUUUCAUGUAACGCUCUCGUUAAUAGAGGAUUGAAUGUACUAUAUCGAAUAGUAUAGGAUUAUCAUACAACUCCUUAUGCAACGAUGUGAUGUUCGUCGAGGGCAUCGAUUCAACAUGCACCGACGUUGUAGGACCAUGAGAAAAUAGUACCGCGGCUUUUAUCAACAACUCGUCAACAGUAUUGAGAUAAUAGACAGACGUUGCUCGUCGGGGGAAACGAAAGAGAGAGAAAAAUGGAGAGAAAAAAAAAUAAAUAAAGACACACACACAGAGAAAGAUAAGAAAGUAAAGCACCGCCGCCCG